rnacentral:rRNA from 1 species
ACAAGCGGUGGAGUAUGUGGUUUAAUUCGAUGCAACGCGAAGAACCUUACCUGGUCUUGACAUCCCGGAGACCCUUAGGAAACUAGGGGUGCUUCCAUUAGGAAGAAUCUGGAGACAGGUGCUGCAUGGCUGUCGUCAGCUCGUGUCGUGAGAUGUUGGGUUAAGUCCCGCAACGAGCGCAACCCUUGCCUUUAGUUGCCAGCAGUUCGGCUGGGCACUCUAAAGGGACUGCCGGUGUUAAACCGGAGGAAGGUGGGAUGACGUCAAGUCCUCAUGGCCUUUAUGACCAGGGCUACACACGUACUACAAUGGCCGGUACAAAGGGCAGCGACACAGCGAUGUGAAGCGAAUCCCGAAAAGCCGGUCUCAGUCCGGAUUGCAGGCUGCAAUUCGCCUGCAUGAAGUCGGAAUCGCUAGUAAUCGCAGGUCAGCAUACUGCGGUGAAUACGUUCCCGGGCCUU